AUGUUUCAAAUAAUUUAUUGCCGUAGGAUGGGACUGCGGCCUAUCAGUUUGUUGGUGAGGUAAUGGCCCACCAAGACUAUUACAGGUACGGGCUCUGAGAGGAGUAGCCCGGAGAUGGGUACCGAGACACGGACCCAGGCCCUAUGGGGCGCAGCAGGCGAGAAAACUUUGCAAUGUGCGAAAGCACGACAAGGUUAAUCCGAGUGGUUUCUGCUAAAGGAACCUUUUGUCAGUCCUAGAAACACUGAUGAAUAAGAGGUGGGCAAGUUCUGGUGUCAGCCGCCGCGGUAAAACCAGCACCUCAAGUGGUCAGGAUGAUUAUUGGGCCUAAAGCAUCCGUAGCCUGCUUUGUAAGUUUUCGGUUAAAUCCAUACGCUCAACGUAUGGGCUGCCGGGAAUACUGCAAAGCUAGGGAGUGGGAGAGGUAGACGGUACUCGGUAGGAAGGGGUAAAAUCCUUUGAUCUAUUGAUGACCACCUGUGGCGAAGGCGGUCUACCAGAACACGUCCGACGGUGAGGGAUGAAAGCUGGGGGAGCAAACCGGAUUAGAUACCCGGGUAGUCCC
rnacentral:rRNA from 1 species